rnacentral:rRNA from 1 species
AUGAAGAGGAUGCAUGACAGGCGAAGCUUCUUCUGGCCAGCCGCCGCGCUCCAGAAUUCAACGGCCAAGACUAGUGCAGGCUUAAAUUGUUCCAUAAAACGGCGGCACUCGGCGCCUCGGCUCAUUCAUCCAACCAUGUCCACGCUGAGAGCGCGGUGUGCGACGGCCAUCCUGGCCGUCGUCCUGGCGGCGGCCGCGGUCGCGCCGGCCACGGCCGAGCAGUGCGGCUCGCAAGCCGGCGGCGCCAGGUGCGCCGACUGCCUGUGCUGCAGCCAGUUCGGGUUCUGCGGCACCACCUCCGACUACUGCGGCCCCCGCUGCCAGAGCCAGUGCACUGGCUGCGGCGGCGGCGGCGGCGGGGUGGCCUCCAUCGUGUCCAGGGACCUCUUCGAGCGGUUCCUGCUCCAUCGCAACGACGCGGCGUGCCUGGCCCGCGGGUUCUACACGUACGACGCCUUCUUGGCCGCCGCCGGCGCGUUCCCGGCCUUCGGCACCACCGGAGACCUGGACACGCGGAAGCGGGAGGUGGCCGCCUUCUUCGGCCAGACCUCUCACGAGACCACCGGCGGGUGGCCCACCGCGCCCGACGGCCCCUUCUCAUGGGGCUACUGCUUCAAGCAGGAGCGGGGCUCGCCACCGAGCUACUGCGACCAGAGCGCCGACUGGCCGUGCGCACCCGGCAAGCAGUACUAUGGCCGCGGCCCCAUCCAGCUCACCCACAACUACAACUACGGACCAGCGGGCCGUGCGAUCGGGGUGGACCUGCUGAACAAUCCGGACCUGGUGGCCACGGACCCGACGGUGGCGUUCAAGACGGCGAUAUGGUUCUGGAUGACGACGCAGUCCAACAAGCCGUCGUGCCAUGACGUGAUCACGGGGCUGUGGACUCCGACGGCCAGGGAUAGCGCGGCCGGACGGGUGCCCGGGUAUGGUGUCAUCACCAACGUCAUCAACGGCGGGAUCGAAUGCGGCAAGGGGCAGAACGACAAGGUGGCCGAUCGGAUCGGGUUCUACAAGCGCUAUUGCGACAUCUUUGGCAUCGGCUACGGGAAUAACCUCGACUGCUACAACCAAUUGUCGUUCAACAUUGGGCUCGCGGCACAGUGA